rnacentral:rRNA from 1 species
CGCAUGGUAGGAGAGCGUUCCGUAAGCCUGCGAAGGUGCCUUGUAAAGGGUGCUGGAGGUAUCGGAAGUGCGAAUGCUGACAUGAGUAGCGAUAAAGGGGGUGAAAGGCCCCCUCGCCGUAAGCCCAAGGUUUCCUACGCAACGUUCAUCGGCGUAGGGUGAGUCGGCCCCUAAGGCGAGGCAGAAAUGCGUAGCUGAUGGGAAGCAGGUCAAUAUUCCUGCACCGUCGUUAGAUGCGAUGGGGGGACGGAUCGCGGAAGGUUGUCCGGGUGUUGGACGUCCCGGUCGCUGCAUUGGAGAAGGCGCUUAGGCAAAUCCGGGCGCAGGAUUCAAGGGUGUGGCGCGAGCGACUUCGGUCGCGAAGCAAUUGGAAGUGGUUCCAAGAAAAGCCUCUAAGCUUCAGUCUAACGAUGACCGUACCGCAAACCGACACAGGUGGGCGAGAUGAGUAUUCUAAGGCGCUUGAGAGAACUCGGGAGAAGGAACUCGGCAAAUUGGUACCGUAACUUCGGGAUAAGGUACGCCCUUGUAGCUUGACCAGCCUGCGCUGGAAGGGUGAAGGGGUUGCAAUAAACUGGUGGCUGCGACUGUUUAAUAAAAACACAGCACUCUGCAAACACGAAAGUGGACGUAUAGGGUGUGACGCCUGCCCGGUGCCGGAAGAUUAAAUGAUGGGGUGCAAGCUCUUGAUUGAAGUCCCGGUAAACGGCGGCCGUAACUAUAACGGUCCUAAGGUAGCGAAAUUCCUUGUCGGGUAAGUUCCGACCUGCACGAAUGGCGUAACGAUGGCCACACUGUCUCCUCCCGAGACUCAGCGAAGUUGAAGUGUUUGUGAUGAUGCAAUCUACCCGCGGCUAGACGGAAAGACCCCAUGAACCUUUACUGUAGCUUUGCAUUGGACUUUGAACCGAUCUGUGUAGGAUAGGUGGGAGGCUAUGAAACCGGAACGCUAGUUUCGGUGGAGCCGUCCUUGAAAUACCACCCUGGUUUGUUUGAGGUUCUAACCUUGGUCCGUGAUCCGGAUCGGGGACAGUGCAUGGUAGGCAGUUUGACUGGGGCGGUCUCCUCCCAAAGGGUAACGGAGGAGUACGAAGGUACGCUAGGUACGGUCGGAAAUCGUGCUGAUAGUGCAAUGGCAUAAGCGUGCUUAACUGCGAGACCGACAAGUCGAGCAGGUGCGAAAGCAGGUCAUAGUGAUCCGGUGGUUCUGUAUGGAAGGGCCAUCGCUCAACGGAUAAAAGGUACUCUGGGGAUAACAGGCUGAUACCGCCCAAGAGUUCAUAUCGACGGCGGUGUUUGGCACCUCGAUGUCGGCUCAUCUCAUCCUGGGGCUGUAGCCGGUCCCAAGGGUAUGGCUGUUCGCCAUUUAAAGAGGUACGUGAGCUGGGUUUAAAACGUCGUGAGACAGUUUGGUCCCUAUCUGCCGUGGGCGUUGGAUAUUUGAAGGGGGCUGCUCCUAGUACGAGAGGACCGGAGUGGACGAACCUCUGGUGUACCGGUUGUGACGCCAGUCGCAUCGCCGGGUAGCUAUGUUCGGAAGAGAUAACCGCUGAAAGCAUCUAAGCGGGAAACUCGCCUUAAGAUGAGAUAUCCCUGGAGGCUUGACCUCCUUGAAGGGUCGUUCGAGACCAGGACGUUGAUAGGUCGGGUGUGUAAGCGCAGUAAUGCGUUCAGCUAACCGAUACUAAUUGCCCGUAAGGCUUGAUCCU